rfam:Actinospica robiniae DSM 44927 genomic scaffold ActroDRAFT_ARA.1, whole genome shotgun sequence.
GGGCGCUUAGCUCAGCGGUAGAGCGCCGCCCUUACAAGGCGGAUGUCACUGGUUCGAACCCAGUAGCGCCCA